AACCAAACAAAACAAAGCGCACAUAUUUCUCCUAGUUUUGCACCCGCUCUUCUAGCCCCAAACAAAAUGUCCAUCAAGUUUCUCCUAGUGGUGCUCCUUGCUGUGGUGGCUCUCACCACUUCUCACCAGCCGACCACCACAAACCACCUACUAAUCCCAGCCACAAACCACCUGCCGUAGAAGUAGAGGAUGGGGUUCAAUUGGGACAAGGGAUUCUUCCAGUUCAGAAUGAUCAAAUCAUCCACGUAAAGGAGGGUGUUCUGACCAGCAAAAGCGCCUACGAAGGGGUUUCAGCAGAGAACAAUGGAAUUGCAGAGAACGCGAAAAGCCGAAGAAGUUUGGUGGGUGGAAGGGAUCCAUACGUAGAUGUGAUAGAUUACGCUCCUGCGCAUGCAACACCUCCAAUCCACAACUAAUUGACUCUUGGAAACAACUGCCAGUGAUGAAAAUGUUUUUGAAGAAAAUAUAUUGAGUUUUGGAGAAAAAAGGUAGGAAAUGGAAAUAAGAGCAGUAAAUGCACCACAAAUGUAUUGUUCUUGAUUUUGUAUGGGAAACAUAUUUUGUACUUCAGAUUUGUACGGCAACAAAUUUUGCCUUCUGAAAAUGUUAUUGAACUGAGAAAAAUGCUCA